rnacentral:rRNA from 1 species
GAUGAACGCUGGCGGCGUGCCUAAUACAUGCAAGUCGAGCGAACAGAUGAGGAGCUUGCUCCUCUGACGUUAGCGGCGGACGGGUGAGUAACACGUGGAUAACCUACCUAUAAGACUGGGAUAACUUCGGGAAACCGGAGCUAAUACCGGAUAAUAUAUUGAACCGCAUGGUUCAAUAGUGAAAGACGGUUUUGCUGUCACUUAUAGAUGGAUCCGCGCCGCAUUAGCUAGUUGGUAAGGUAACGGCUUACCAAGGCAACGAUGCGUAGCCGACCUGAGAGGGUGAUCGGCCACACGGGAACUGAGACACGGUCCAGACUCCUACGGGAGGCAGUAGUAGGGAAUCUUCCGCAAUGGGCGAAAGCCUGACGGAGCAACGCCGCGUGAGUGAUGAAGGUCUUCGGAUCGUAAAACUCUGUUAUUAGGGAAGAACAAAUGUGUAAGUAACUAUGCACGUCUUGACGGUACCUAAUCAGAAAGCCACGGCUAACUACGUG